rnacentral:rRNA from 1 species
AGAGUUUGAUCCUGGCUCAGGACGAACGCUGGCGGCGCGCUUAACACAUGCAAGUCGAGCGAGAACCAGGGCUUCGGCCCCGGGGACAGCGGCGAACGGGUGAGUAACACGUGGGUAAUCUGCCCUCGGUACUGGGAUAGCCCGGGGAAACCCGGAUUAAUACCGGAUGGCCCUUCGAGUUUUCGAAUUCGAAGGAAAAGGUAGCUUCGGCCUCCGACCGAGGAUGAGCCCGCGGCGGAUUAGCUUGUUGGUGGGGUAACGGCCUACCAAGGCGACGAUCCGUAGCUGGUCUGAGAGGACGAUCAGCCACACUGGGACUGAGACACGGCCCAGACUCCUACGGGAGGCAGCAGUGGGGAAUCUUGCCCAAUGGGCGAAAGCCUGAGGCAGCGACGCCGCGUGCGGGAAGAAGGCCUUCGGGUUGUAAACCGCUUUCAGGAGGGACGAAGCCACUCGGGUUAAUAGCCCAGAGGGUGACGGUACCUCCAGAAGAAGCCCCGGCUAACUACGUGCCAGCCGCCGCGGUAAUAC